CCAAGCCAGGCGUACUCCUCUAUUCCAGCCGCCCAUCAGACUGCUGCUUCACUGAACCCACAGGUGAUGUACCUUCCCAACCAGGGCUCCUCCCCUUCCUGUCCACCUCUCCACCUGUCUGCUACUCCACUGGCCACCUCACAGACACCUGCUGCCUUCCCACCCACCGUGGAGCCUCCUGCUUACAGCAAGAGCUGAGGGCCUGAGGAGGAGAGGUCAAGAUC